rnacentral:other from 1 species
UGAGCCCUGCUGCGUACGCGAGGGUCGCGGAUUCUUUGAACCGAUGCGUCUUACGCAUGGAGCGGUUAUCUUCCGGCGGGUGUGCGCGUGGCCAGUUCCAUGUACCCGAAGCCGAUGUGCCGCACCGUCUUGAACCCCUGGGUUCAGGAUUGCGGCCCGGACGACGCCCGCGGGGCUCAC